rnacentral:snoRNA from 13 species
UGCUGUUCAUGAUGAUUUGUUAAAAUCAAUGGGAAUCUCUCUGAAGAGAAUGAAGCCAGUUUUUAUACUGAAACAGUA